rnacentral:lncRNA from 1 species
CUGCCAUUAUUAUUGAGGUUGCUAAUAAAAUCUUUGAUUGCUAUUUUGGAUCAAAAUAAAAGAUUCUAUUUAUAUCUAUUCAAGAUUUUGGGAUAUAUAUGAAAUUACAAUUCAAAAUUUUGGAUUUAGGAACUGACUUAGAGAAUUUGGUUUUGAAAGGUUUGUAUGAUUAUUAUGAAAAGUAUUUGAUAGAUGUUAAUGAUCUCGAUGGAAGAAACUCUAGAAAAGAUGAUUGAGUCGGUUCUACCUAUAUCUUUUGAUUAACGUCCUAACUUGGUGAAGCACCAUAAGAUUUUUAUUGUUGAUUUUACUUACAAAAUUUUGAUUUGAAUUAUCUAAAGGAAUUGAUAUGAGAAUUAAGAUUUGAUUUAUAUUGGAUUAUAAUAAACCUGUAU